rnacentral:tRNA from 1 species
GCAACAGUGGCUCAGUGGUAGAAUUCUCACCUUCCAUGUGAGAGACCUGGGUUCGAUUCCCAGCCAAGGCA